UGUAUCAGAUGAUGAAACCACGAAACAAUCUUAGGACACCUUCUGACACAGUGCUGUUAGCUCUGUGAGUGAGAAGGCAAUUCUUUUCUGAUGAUACU
rnacentral:snoRNA from 2 species